rnacentral:rRNA from 1 species
GACGAACGCUGGCGGCGUGCCUAAUACAUGCAAGUCGAACGCUUUUUCUUUCACCGGAGCUUGCUCCACCGAAAGAAAAAGAGUGGCGAACGGGUGAGUAACACGUGGGUAACCUGCCCAUCAGAAGGGGAUAACACUUGGAAACAGGUGCUAAUACCGUAUAACACUAUUUUCCGCAUGGAAGAAAGUUGAAAGGCGCUUUUGCGUCACUGAUGGAUGGACCCGCGGUGCAUUAGCUAGUUGGUGAGGUAACGGCUCACCAAGGCAACGAUGCAUAGCCGACCUGAGAGGGUGAUCGGCCACACUGGGACUGAGACACGGCCCAGACUCCUACGGGAGGCAGCAGUAGGGAAUCUUCGGCAAUGGACGAAAGUCUGACCGAGCAACGCCGCGUGAGUGAAGAAGGUUUUCGGAUCGUAAAACUCUGUUGUUAGAGAAGAACAAGGAUGAGAGUAAAACGUUCAUCCCUUGACGGAUCUAACCAGAA